AAAAUUUCAUUACUGCUAUAAAACUUGAAAAGGAGGACAAGGAGGACAUUUUUGCUCAUAAGGGGGAUAGAGAAGGACAAUAUUUUUGAGGAGGACAAAUCACGUUUGAGGAGGACAAUCCUCCUCAAAGGAGGACGGUUGGUCAGCUUACUCUUUAAUGACCUAGGCGUAACUGAAAACCAGCCGUGGUUUAUUUUCAAUGACCAAGGGAUUUACGUUUUCGCUGACGUUGGGAGGACAAUCCUCCUCAAAGGAGGACGGUUGGUCAGCUCACUCUUUAAUGACCUAGGCGUAACUGAAAACCAGCCGUGAAUUAUUUUCAAUGACCAAGGGAUUUACGUUUUCGCUGACGUGCCGCACUUGCUAAAACUUUUUCGAAAUCAUUUCCUUGAUCAAGGUUUCCUAAUUAAUGGGAAACCUGUGAAAAAGGAAAUAAUUUUGGAGUUAUUGUCAAUUACAAGCACGGACUUGACAAUAACUCACAAGAUUUCUGCAAGUAACUUGACCGUGGCUGGAGCUCACCGCCAAAAGAUCAAGACGGCAGCGAAACGAUUUCCGCAUACUGUGGCGCAGGCCAUAACAAGGGCAGCAAGUCUGGGUUAUUUGCAGAACCAAAACUGGACCGAAUGCUUCAAAAUUUUAUUGUUGUAAACUGUAUAAAAAAUAUAACCACAUAACCAGAUAACACGAUAACCAGGCGGGCGUGAACAACCACAACACAUGACUGGGUUGAUGUUCAAAAUGUUAGGGUUCAUUACGUCGACUCCAGGAAGCGGUGUCUUGCUUACGGGUUUCAUGAUCAUCCUGAUCAACAGGAGGACUUACCUGCUAGGACACAACUUACGUACUUACUAUACCUGCUAGGACACAACAGGGGCGUAUUAUCCUAAUGUAGAAGAGGAUGAUACGCCAGACAUAGAAAUCACGCAGCCUCUGCUUGCAAGUAUUUUGCUGAAGAACUUAAGUUCUAAAGCAGAACUGUGGCCGGUUGAAGAAGCGGAAUUCGAGGAUUUAGAGUAAGACAGACUCGAGAAUUUAGCGGGAUAUAUUUGCCACAAGUUGCAGGACGACAUUUCCAGCACGUCGUUUAGGAGCAAUGACGACCAACGACCCAACGAGGCUCCUCUAUAAUGGUCCAUAUGCGAAGUCUUGAGUCAGUGUUUAAGGCAUUGAACGAAGACGGCUUGCUUAUUACCAGGGAACGGAAUUUAUGGAAAUUGCCUUUUUUCUGCUAAAG